GGGGCCAUAGCUCAGACGGAAGAGCGCCUGGUUAGUCCUAACGGGAGGACGGUGGUUCAAAUCCACCUGGCUCCA
rnacentral:tRNA from 1 species